CAAGGUCGAAGUCUCUGAUAUAAAAAGGAUCCGCCGUCUUCGAUGGUUAUGUCACACAAGCGCUUUGGUUGCUUUGGUGUUGUUCAUCCACUUACCUACUGAGCUUCAUAUCGAGUCAGUCGCAUCUUCUGACAAUGAAGACUUUGGUGGCACUCGUUUUCCUUCUCUCCGCCAUCCUCUCCGUCGUCUCGGCACUACCUGUGUACGCCUAUGCAUAUGCACCAUAUGCAUACGCUCCAUACGCAUAUGGCUAUGAUUACGGAUACGUUGCUCCUUACUCAGCCGCCGCCUACUACGUUCCCUGGUACAAACGUUAAGUCAUCCCAUAUUCAAGGACGUGAUUUAACCUGAAAAUGGCUGCCAUACGCAUCACAUUGACAGAAUUCGGAUAAAAUCAACUUUUGAAAAAUCGUUUGUUCUAAGAUAGAUGCAUCAUCAAAUUAAAUAAAAACAGCAGAAAAAAGAAAAGGAAUUCGAUGCUUUCAUUGCUACCCACCCCUCAGUGUCUCUGAGCUUUCUGCCUCUAAAUUAGAUGUUAAAUAUCAUCGCUUCCUGCUUGUUAAAUCUGAAUAAAGGUUUUUUUGUGACAUGAAACAA